rnacentral:ncRNA from 1 species
AAGGGUGCACAUAACAUGUUAGGCGAAUCCUAAACCAGAAUGAGAAAAUAGUGAAAAGUCACAUAAUACGCUUUUGGGAUGUUGUAACUCCGGGAUAAAUCAGGCCAAAUCCUGAAGAAAGCUAAAAAGCGUUGUUUGAUGAGUCUGCAUAGUAUUAGGUAGUUAGCCUUAGGUAAAGACUGAUCAAGCCAAAUAAUUUUUAGCAACUCUUUUCGGAUGAUCAACCACAUUGGGACUGAGACACGUCCCGGACUCCCACGGGGG